CAGCCGUCACUCAAAUCUCUGCCUCUGCUCUUGUGAUGUAGGACACCGCGCUGCCUGCCUGACUUCACAGUGGGCUGGACUCGAUCCUCCUGGAGUCACAUGGACUUGCUGCUCUGGAGACACACUUGUAACCCCUGCAGCUUGUUCCAGUCCCCAGAGUGCCUGGAACCCUUGCCUCUGAGAUGCAAGUAAAGAUAAGUACUAAGAAUGUCCCCCCACAAACACGUACUGGAUACCCAGCAGGAGACAUUACUGACUGGAACCAGAGUGUCCCCCCACCUCGCCUCCAAGCCAUGUCCUCACCAGCUUAUCACCAGACACAGGUCUCUAGCAGCUUCUGGCAUUUCAGAGACCAGGGAAAGUCAAGUUUACUCAAAGUCCUGGAUUCCUCUGGCUUCUCUACGCUCAGAACUUAUAUUAGGAGAACGCUCGUUCUCUCAGGAGCUCCCACGCAGCUCCUCCCUCUGGUUACACUCUGCUGAUGCAGUCUGCCCGGCAUGGGCACUGGUCUUCCAUGGAGGCACCAAGGCUGGGCCACCUUGACCUUCAGAGCCAUACCCCACAAGGCUGUCCAGAUGUGUCCUCCAUCCGCCUUGUCAAUCUCCUGCCUUUGAUCCUCGGCCCUGAGGCUGCCUAUACCCCCUUGCCUUGGUCUCUGUCUCCCUGCUUAGCAACUGGCUCAUUUGCCAUCUACAAACAGCUUCCAGACACCCUGUUCUUUCUUCUGGCUGUGGGUAGGUCCUGCUCAACUGCUGCUUCUGGGACCCACAACCCAAGGGGGUGGAGAUCCGGCUUGUUCUCCUUUUUUGGGCUGCCUCUGCCACAUCUGACUCCCCUUCCUAUUGAGUGUGCAUUCCGAGUGCCAGGCUGCAGAAACCGGCCACCUGAGAGUCAAGUAUCUUCUCUUUUCCUUGCAUGGAGUACCCACAAGGGAAAAGAGGUCCCUUUCUGUAGGUAAUGCCUCCUCCACGUCAGACAGGAUGUUUCUAAUGGGCGCAUCCUUCCUUGAGUAAAGCCCUCAAAGGAGCCUGACUCCCUGCGCUGCCGGAGGCCCUUUCCCAUCCAUUGGGAAGGUGCUGCGAUCUUUCCCAUGGAUCCGCAAAGAGCGGGUACCAAGGAUCUUCUUGCUGUUUGGUAGCAGAAAACAGACUAAGACCUUGUGGGAAGAACAGAAUGAAAAAAAGAAUGUGAAAGAAAACUAGUUAGGGAGAAAGAGACUUUGCAAGGCUCUUCCUAAAUGUCCCUCCACGCUGGUCUAUUUUCAGACCUAUCCUGUUACUGUUUUGUUUACUCAAGAGCCUGUGUGAAUUGGUAAAAAGCAGGCAUGAAAGGAAAUGCUCACAGAAAGACAAGUCAAUGGAAGUGUCUAAAACGGACUUGUGUUCAAUUUCACAGACAGCCAAGGCAGUGAAGUCUGCCACCCGGGGAGGCCAACUCACGCCUGUCACAUGCUCAAGAACCUGGAAGGAGGGUCACUUCCAGUAGUGGAAGUCUGCUCUGUCAAGCGAUUGGAGCCUUUGGGAGUUUUCCCUCCCCUUGCACAGUUUGACACAUUUUAUAUGUAUUAAUGGAUAAAGAAUGUGAGGGGCUGGGGUUAUGGAUGAGGGUUUCUCAGAGAUAAAAAACAGAUGCAGGAACACAGCGUGUACCUGCUUCCUCCCUUCGAGUCCCACAGGCCACAGGCAGCAGUGACUACACAGCCAUGACAGAGAAAACAGCCCCCCUAUACCCUCUACACCCCCCACCCCAUGGUGGAAAAGCCUUCAUCCUUUUGGGGAGGAUCUGGAUUCUCCUCCCAGCCUUUUGGAAUAUAAGACGCCUCUCUUCAAGAGCCCUAAUUUGUCUCAGGCUUUUAGAACCAGAGAGAGGUCUCCAAGGUGUGGAAUGUAAUACCCGGGAUGGUGGGGAUGUGCCGUCCCUUGGUCCCCACAUCUUAAGAACUUCACCUGAGGUAACAAUAUGGAUUUUAACUACUUAAUGGUCUUAGGACGUUAACUGAAAAGUUUUAUUAUCCUUAUGGAUCAAAGAAAUUUAAAACACUGAAUAGGGUGGAAAAAAAACGAUCUGAGCUCUAGGGAAAGUCAAAGCAAACAGCCAUCUGCUGGCCGUGCAGUGUCUGUGUCCUGGGACUACUAAGACACUCCAAGAGUCUUCUUUUUGUUGUUGUUUUUUUUCCUUUAACAGAAUAUAAAACAAAAACCAUCACAUUGAAGUUGGAGAGGACAAACAGAAGGAAAAGUGCUCAGGAGAAGGCACUAGAAUCAGAGGCCCACGGGUUCCCACACUCGGGAGUCCCAUAAAAAAUACUAAAGUGAAAGCUCUAAUGUAUACGCAGAGGACCUGGCUCAGACCCACGGCCUCUGCUAAGUUGCAGAGUCUGUAUUUUGGGUUUCGCGGAUGGAAAUGCACGUUCUUACGAUUUUUCUCGGGGAGGAAGAGACCCGGGAAAGUCAGCUCUGGCCACACAACUUUGACUCCAGAAAUUCCACUUUGUGAAGUCAAAAGGAGUUGUCACAAGGCUUGCCGUGACAGGUUGGCUGAGACUGACAGAGCCGAAAGCACAACGCAAAGGAAGCGAUGCAGCGGACGUCGCAGAGCCAGAGUGACAGGGAGAUGAGGAGGGAGAUGCCCCACCCCACCCCGCGAAGACGACACCCUUUUUUUUUUUUUUCUCUGUGAGUUGUAAAGCUGGAAACAGAGGAAACGGCAACUUUGCUGACUUGUGUCAAUGUUUGGUCAAUGUUUGCAACUUUUCCUUUGAGAAUGUGUCUGAUCGUGGACCUGAGAGACCAGCUGUGACUGCAGACCUGAGCUCUUGGCUUACUACAUGAAGUAUGGUGCUAGUUGUUUUUAGAUGAUCCUUCUAUAUCCUGAUCGGGAAUACUUUUCAUUGUCUACUUAAGUGAAAACUGGAAAACACAGCUCUUGCUCCAAAAGGAAGAAGAGAAUUUGUUUUGAGCCAAAUAUGAACGGCCAAGGCCCAGAAACUCACAUAGAGGUUAUCUUAAAUGUGCUUGUACUCUCCUCCAUGGAAGAGGCUAUAUGAAUGUUCAUAAUAUAGAACAAAAUGUCAAAUAUUAAUGCAUUUAGUCACUCAAGAGAAAGGAAAUCUCUUCAAAAGGACCCGGGUUUGGGUUUGGGGCUGAUGGAGUUGGUCAUUAAUGGCUUUUAAGUGGGACUGAAGUUAGCCGGAGAUCUGUCUGGCACCUGAUCUAUAACACUUCCGUCUCCCGGCCUGGGCUUCUGAUUGGUCAAUUGCUACAGAAUCUUCUAUGUGGAUGUUCAGGGAACUGCAAUUCCCAGCAUGGGGAAACAUAUGGCAACAUUGUCUUUGGCAGAAUAUGGACCAGAAGAGUAUGCAUGCCUAGCUCAGUAUCAAUGGAAAUAGAAAAUUCCGUGAGUCUGUGCUAAGGAACAGACUGCAUCCGCUCGUGGAUGAGGGCUGGGCUGUGAUAAGAACAAAUGGAAGUAUUUUCUUAGGGGCUCA